AAAGCCUUUAACUUCUACUUCCCCCCUUUUUCCCUUUCGUCCUCCUGCUAAAGCCGCUCAUUUGAGAGAAAAGUACUCUCCACCGUUCAGUUCAUCAACUCUUCACCGUUCAGCUCUCUACCGCAUCUCAUCAACUCUUCAUCAUUCAGCUCAUCAAUUCUCCAGGUAAAAACCGAGCAUCAGAUUCCAUCUAGCUUAUCGCAUCCUAUAAUGAUUCCUGAGUGAAAAUGAGAGCGUGUUUCUAUGGACCUCCUAAUGGGGUUGACAUUAACCCAGAGAAAGAAAGAUGCAAUCAAGGUUAUAGUUGAUCUGUUAACAAAUUCUGCACAUUUUAUACUUGUACGUACGGAUUACUCACUUGAUAAAUUGGCAGAGUUGUAUGCUUCAAAAAAUAGUCAGAUUAAACGGUGUUCCAUUAUCAAUCAUUUCUAAUCA